rnacentral:lncRNA from 1 species
UCCCCUCCUGCCAUCCCUAAACAAGACAACCAAUUAUGAGCAAAAAAAACUAAAAAUGUCGAGUAUUUCUAUCAAAAUCAGAAAUGCAAACAAUGUUAAAAUGGUCUUAUAAAAAAAUCUGUAGGUUGAACUGAACGUCUCGCCUUUUGGUUUUGGCCUCAUUUAUCUCUACUGCCCUUUUGCUGAUGAAUUGUUUUGGCUGUCUUUGAUGAAGAGGUUGUUUAGACUGCGAGCUGCUGCUAGUCUUUGGACUCUUUCGGUUUCUCCUUCAAUUCUUCAAUAUGUUCCAAUGCCUCUAGAACUUCUUGCAUUGAGGGGCGUUUUCGAGGAUGUGUUUCCAGGCAUUUUAGAGUAAGAUCACCCACGAGCGUGGCUGCUUUCAAUGAAUAUUGACCUUCUAGUUUUGCAUCUAUUAAGUUCUUUAUCUUUUUUUUCUUCACCAAGAAUGGCUUAGCCCAAUCGACCAGAUUGCGCUGUUCGUGGGGCCUAUUCACAUCAUGGGCUCGCCAGCCAGUCAUGAUUUCAAGCAGUACAACACCGAACCCGUAAACCUCGCUCUUAACAUAUAGAUGACCUGUGAAGUUCAGCAAUGAAGAUGAUUUUCAAUAUUGACACAAUAAGAAUAAUUAGAGAACUUGCGUAAUGAAAUUAUAUACGUAGCACUUUUCAUAUUUACUUCAUCUCCUUUGUCACAACAGUAUACUAUUUUGACCUCUCCUCUAUGCAUUUGCGAGAAACACGAAUAACCAAAAUUGAUUAAACAAGGACAGAUAAAAUCACCUGCAGUAACGUAUUCUGGGGCAACGUAACCGUAUGUGCCAAUAAUUCUUGUUGUUACAUGUGAGACUUCACCUGCAGGGCCCAAUCUUGCCAAGCCAAAAUUCGAGAUUUUUGAAUUAUAAUUCUGCACGUGAAGAUAAAAGGGAAAUUUAAAUAGAGAGAUGAAAUGAGACAGGAAAACAGGAUGGACCAAGAAGUUCAACAGUGUGUCAAUCUUAUUCCUGAGUAUAUAAACAAAUGAAAAUAUCCAAUACUGAACACAUCCAAAAUAUUAAAUCUAGCUAUUUCAAGUUCUCACAUAGUUAUUAAUAGAGGCUCCAUCUAAAAAAAAUUGACAAUGAGAAGAAUAACUCAUGUAUCUUAUAAUUAGAAAAAUGAGAGGUUCCUUGAAUUUCCUAAAGGUGGAAUCCUCAACCCUUAUCAACUACAUUUUAUUUAUUAUCAUUAAACAAGAAAAGUGAAACAAAGAUAUAAUUGAAGAAAUAUAAAAUAGACUGCAGAAAGAUGGACAAACCAAAUCGAGAAGUAUAUUUGAUGUUUUAAAAUCUCUGUAUAUAACUUCUUUUUCUGUGGAAUGCAAGAAAGCCAAGCCUCUAGCUGCUCCAAUAGCGAUCUUGAGCCUUCUUUCCCAAGAAAGAGGUUGAGUGAAAGAACCUGCUAAUCACGAAAAAAAAAAACCAAAGAUCAGCACAACAGAUUAUGAAGAGUCAAUCUUCUCUUAUCCUAUCUUUAAGGAAAUCAUACUUCUAAAGAGAUGGCUUUCCAAGCUUCCCUUGGACAUAAAUUCAUACACAAGGAGCAACUCUUCAUCUUCCCAACAGAAACCCAAUAAUUUGACAACAUUUGGAUGAUUCAGCCGUCCUAAAAAGUUGACUUCUGCCUGCAUUCAAUCCAUACAAGCACUUAGACAUUAAUAAACCUUGUAAAGUAGACUCCAGCCGAAGACAGAACUUGGCAAAACUUCCAAGUCCAUCCAAAUAGCAUUAAAAAAUGUACACAUAUUUGAAGAUUAUAGGCUAUAGGUUUAUGUUUAUUUGAGCUUCAUGAGUAUAAACAUGUAACUACAAAUUUCAGAAGAAUGCAAAUUUCUAAUUUAGCCUCUGUCAAACAAGGUAUGCAAAACAAUGGACAUAACAGUCUAACAGAGGCUACAUUUUCUUAUACACAAAACUUAACAGAAGUACUUAACAAAAACGUCGAAAUGAUUGGAAGACCUAUGUCACCAGUUCAAUUGAUACCGAACAUUAACAUAAAAGUAAUUUAAUCCUUACAGUAUUCAGGCUAAUUCUAAAUUUGCAAAUGGAUUGUCCAGAACAAAGAAUACUAAUAAUGGCCAGGCCAUCUACUUUUGUUCAGUAAGUAAGAGUUCCAUAGAAAGCAAGAAAGAGAAAUUGUGGCUAAAUUUGGAAAUGGAGAAAUGAUUUCAUCAUAUUCAGAAUAUUGAAUACAAUAUAAUAGAUGAUCCAUGAAUGAGCUUGAUUUUACCUGCCAAUCUUGAAAACCUUGAACACUUUCUGCGUUUAAUUUCUUAAUGGCAACCGCCAUACCAGAAUUGCUCUUAGAAGGAGCCAGCGUCUUGUCAUUUACCCAGCCUUUAUACACCUUCCGAAAACCUCCCUGACCGACCACGGAUGCAGGUCUGAAUUUCUGGUAAUGAGUUUCAGCUCAGUGAAACUGAAUUCCUUCAAGUUUGGUUGGUCAAGGAUUUUCCCACUCGGACAGGACUCACUCACAUCUACGCUCCCCGCCGCUGAAAAUUGACUGCCUGAAGUUCCUAAGAAAUGGCAGAAGAUACAAUCAAACUGACAACUCAAAGCAGAAAAUUUGACGUUGUAAAAAGUAAAUCCGAAGUUAAUCGUUUGAAAUUAGCACCUGGAGUAGAAGAUACUGCUUGACUGCGAAGGAAAUUAGAAUGAUGAGCUGAAGAAGUUAAGCAAUUUCCCAUAAUUCAACAGCUUUACUGGUUGAAUCAACGAAAAAAAAGUAGUAGAAUUUUAUCAUACGAAAAUCAAAGAAGAAGAAGAAGGUGAAGUGAAGAACAAAAUCUGAGGGAAGUGGCGGAAAAGAACGAAAAGGAAAAAGCGGUGAAUGUCACUUAUCAUAAAUAAGAUUGCGCACUCUUCCAUUUCCAUAAACAAAGCUUGAACUUAUGGGUCAAAGGAAUCAAAAAGGAAAAUCUGAGUUGCUUGAAUAUAAAUCGUAAAUCAAAAAGCAAAAUCUGUUAUUAUUGUCCAAUUCCAUCAGAUUUUGGCUUCCAAAUUUUUCUUUUUUCAGAAUGAUAUAGAAAUCAACUGACCUGGAAGGCGAAGACUGGAAUUAUGGUAUUUCGAAACUCCUCGUAUUUAAUAACAACGACUGAAAGUUCUUCAUUUCAACUUUCCAACUUUCCAUCUUUCCAACUCAUAACUAAGUUUGUUUAUCCUUCAACAAUAUAAACCAAACCAAGGUUUGGUUUUUUAAAAACAUUAUUAAUUAAGAUUACAAUACAUUAAAUUUAGAGGUAGAAGAUGGUUUUUCUAAAUUUAGUUUUCAAAAACCAAAGGUUCUAUGUGUGGUAACCACUUGGUUUUUGUAAAUUAACUCUGUUUUAUUUUUCUUUCUACAAUAGUGUGUGCAUAUUUAUGAGGUAAAAAGAGUUGAUUUAUCAACCAAAUUCCAAAAAUGAAACCUUAAUAAGCUUUCUCAAAAUUAAUACCUCAUUAAAUAACUAUUUUGUUUUUUCUAUUUUUUUCUUUAUUUUUAUUUUUGAAACAAACAUAUUUUCUCCUUCAUCUCCUAACAUUAUUUACUUCUCUCUUAAAUACAUGCGUUCAAUUAUUAGUCAAAUUAUAUAUAUUUAUAUUUUUAAGUUAUCGUUUUUAGUUUUUAAAAUUUAACUUGAAUUUUUAAAUUAUUAAUAAAAAGUUGAUAACAAAUGAAUAAAUUUAGAAAUAAAACUAGUGUCUAUAUACAUAAAUUUAAAAGUUAGAAAUAAAAUGAUCACCAAACCCGACUUAUUUUUUUAGUUUUUUAAAAUGAAACACUUGCAAAAAUGAUAAAAUAAAUUAUAAUAAUUAAGUCUACACAUACUUUAUUGUUUGCAAAAAUGAUAAAAACAAAGUCUAACUCACACAUGUAAAUGUUUAGAUUUUAUUAUGAUUUUGCUUUACUUACAAAAUCAAAGCCUUAAAGACAUUUUUACAAAAUACCUAAACUAAUUUGCUUCCGAGUACAAUUUCUCUUUUAAAAAAUUUGGUUUGAUUUUUUAAAACAUUCGUAAAAAUUAAAUUACAAAUCAAUACUUUUAGAGUUCGGAAUGAAUGUUUGUAGAGUAAAUAAUUUUUAGAAACUAAAGUUAAAUGAUUGUCCAAUUGAAUGCCCAAUUGAUUAUCACACCAUAACGUCCACUUUACUUUUUUUUCUUCUUCUUUUUGUUAUGUAUACUAUGUGUGUGUGCAUAUACUAUAUUAUUGGUUCAUUGAUUAGCUAAAAAUAUAUGUUUGAAUAUUGGAAGUUUAUGUUUCUAACAAAAAAAUUCUUUUAAAAAGACAAUAGAAUAGUUUAUAUGACGAAUAUAUUUGUGAUUAUAAAAGUAUAAUUUCUAUCGUUCUAUGAUGGAUACGAUUAGAUAUGUGUAUAAUUAUUAAUUAUAUCAUAAUCAUAUCUCAUGUAAUUAAUUAGGUGAAAUAUUGAUAAACCAUGUGGUUGUUGGUUUUUCAUUUUGUUUUUAACAAUUAAAACUAUAAACCUAUAUAAGCAUUGCUUCUAUUUCUGUUUUCUUCUCUAAAUUGAUUUUUCAUUUUAGAAUUUUUUUCUAAAUAGUUGACACAAAAAGUAAUCUUACCAAAAUUGUGGAGGUGAAAAAAGAUUUUUAAAAAAAUCUAUAAAACUUGUUAAACAUUAAAAUUCCUCAAUAUGUUUGAUUUUCUUACAAAGUUCAAAAUUCAAACAAUAAUAAUAUUAUUAAGAUUUAGUAGAAAAUUAAGGGAUGCAACGUCGAAAGUUGAUUACACACAGAUAUUCAGAUCAAAAGUAAAGUUAUUUGUGAAAAUCAACAAACUGAUACCCAAACCUUAAAUUUUCUUUUUGUAAAGAGAUAGUUACGUUAUAUUAUUAUGCAUAGGGUGGCCAGUAGAGAUGAAACUCCAACUUGUAAACCACCGUGAUGCCCACAAGAUCCACCGGAGACGACGUCACAUAGCCAUGUACAAACAAGAAGUCCCCUGUCCCUCCGACGAUAGGGUGGUUCGAGGGUUUAACAUUAUGAGUCCCACCAACGAUGGAGAGGGAACCAGUAUGGUGCCUCAAACGCAAGGUGAUCUUGGCUAUGCUAAUGCUUUGCAAGCCGUCAAAGCUAGAGGUUAUGGAGGUUCCCUCAGACGUACCUACUAGGUUCGAAGCACGAUCCGCGCCGGUGGUUAAAGGGUCGUGGAAAGCAAAGAUGGUGCCAAAUGGGGUGGUGGUUUGGCUGACGCCGGGGCCAACAACCCCUGGCACAAUGAAGUAACCAGUUUUGUUGAUUGUUUCGUGUUGGAAGAGGGAGAAGUGGAGAGAGCGAAGGUGAGGGUGAGUGGUCUGGGCGUGGACGACGUUGAUGGAGGUCAAAGAUGAGAGAGAAGAGAAAAGAAGUGUGAAAAUGGAAGAGAUGAGAAGGAGGGAAGAAAGAGUCGUGUUGGGGUGUUGAGUAUUUAACAAUGGGGACGUACGUGAUAUACAUAAUAUAUAAUGUGACGAGAGAGAUGAGGCGACAAAAGAGUGGUUGAAAGCUUAGUGGAAAUGGAAAUGAGUUUAUAUGAUUUGAUUGGUUCUAAAUUUUGAAGGUCAAGGUGGGAGUCUUGUCUUUGAAAUAAUCCCAACUCUUUUCAACUUUUUCCACACGUUUCUUUGACCUAUAUUUUCUUCAUUUCUUGAACAUUAAUAUUUCUUCUUUUUUUUUUCCUCUCACACCUUAUUAAAUAAUUUUAUUUUAGGAAAAUAACAAAAUAAAUUAAAAUAAAAUAUAACAAAAUUUUAGAUUCUAUCAACGAUAAUCUUCUAUCAACGAUAAUCUUCUAUCACUUAACAUAUUCAUGGACGGAUCUAUUAAGGAGCUAGGGGCAAAUGCCCCGUCACAUUCUCGAUUUUUGUAUUUUAAUAUUAAUUUUAAAGUGUUAAAUUAUAAUAUAUGUUCAAUAAUGCUAUAUUUUUACUAUAUUUUGCAUUUGAUAUAGUGACUGUAUCCCUUUUAAAACUCCAAAUCUUGGGUUCAAAUCUCAUCCUUCACAUACCUAGGUUUUGUUUCUAACCAUUUUUUUUCUUACAAUACAGAAUGCAUAUCAAAAUCACCGAGUCAAAUUCAUUCGGAGAAAUUAGAACAGAAUCUCCAUUUUUAAAAAAUACACAUACUCUAACUUCCUUUAUUGCAAAAUUAAAACAUAAUUGAGGCGUCCAAUCAAGAUCAAAUUUUUGGUCAAACAUAGAAAAUAGUUAUUUUGACUUGUAAUUUUAAAAAAAUAGUCGCUUAUAUUAGAUCACUAAUUAAAAUUUAGAUAUUUUGAUUACUUGACUGUUGUUUUUAGUACAAAUUGAAAGUAAGGAGAUUUUAAACUCAAGAUUUCUUAUCCUCAAAUACAUGUAAGUGUCGGUUGAACAGAGCUCUUGUUAGUGGCUACUUGAGUAUUGACUAUUGAAUCUAUAAAUAAAAGUAUAGUUUACAAUUAAUAUAUACACCUAAAAUCAUAUUCUACUAUUUAGUUUGUAUAGUUUGAGACUGAGUAUAUAUAUAUGUGUGUGGGGUGACUAUAUACACGUAUCAGUAAUCCUUCUUUUGAUUCUUCCUCAAAAGAUCAAAUUUUUAAAAUUUCUUUAAAAAGAAAGGAAGCAGUAUCCUAUGCUUUUAAUCCUUUAUAUUAGAAAUUUCCAAUUAAAAUAAUGUAUUUGAAGCCACCAACGUUGAUUUUUUACUUCUUUUAAAUAAGUGACAGUUAUUUUUCAAGGAUGGGAAUCGCUUUUAGGCUCAAAUGAAAAAUGGGCACUUUGCUGCUCUAACUUUUUGUAACAUAUAUUACGAGAUUAAUAGCAGAAAUUUGAAUCUGAUAAACUGUGAAGAUAAGAAAAUUAUAAAAGAGUUAAUUAGGUAAGAUUUACAAUAAACAAAACAGUCAAUAUUCAAUAAAUAUAGCAAUGUUAACUAUUAGAAAGAAAGAGAAAUUUGGAGGAAAUCCACAUUCCAGACAACUGUUUUUUCUUCUAUGAACCUAAAACAUUUGACAAAUAAUACAUACAUACAUACAUACAAUCAAAUAUAUUUCUACAUCCCCUCUCCUGCCAUUCCUAAACAAGGCAACCAAUGAUGAGCAAAAAAUACUAAAAAUAUUGAGUAUUUCUAUCAAAAUCAGAAAUGCAUACAAUGUUAAAAUGGUCUUUUAAAAAAAUCUGGAGGUUGAAUUGAACGUCUCGCCUUUUGGUUUUGGCCUUAUUUAUCUCUACUGCCUUUUUGCUGAUGAAUUGUUUGGCUGUCUUUGAUGAAGAGGUUGUUUAGACUGCGAGUUGCUACUCUUGGACUCUUUCCGUUUCUCCUUCAAUUCUUCGAUAUGUUCCAAUUCCUCUAGAACUUCUUGCAUUGAGGGCCGUUUUCGAGGAUCUGUUUCCAGGCAUUUUAGAGUAAGAUCACCCACCA